GGAAGCGUGCCUGAAAUCACAAGGACUGCCUUGAUAAGGUAGACAUGGAACCAAUAACAUUCCCACUUCCC
rnacentral:tRNA from 1 species